UACCCUGCCACGAUUUCCUCCAUUUGCCCCUGUUGUACAGAUGUUACAUUUUGUGUCUUAUGAUGAAAUAGUCCCAUCAUGUGCAACAGUGGCAUUUGGAGAUGAAUCUUCAACCAAUCA
rnacentral:precursor_RNA from 12 species